AGAUGAGGUAGCUUGGCAUGAAAGAAGAAGAGUAUGGGUUGGUGAUAUAUCACAAAGAUCAUAGAGUUUAAAAAGCAUAAGUAGCAGAGAGAAGAUCUUGAGGUUAGAGCCUUCAGGUAGAUGCUCGCGAGUUAUCACAGAUUCUAUAUCCGAGAGGCGGGAUCCUGAUGGAUUCACUUGGAAGGCAGUGUCCAAGGAGGAGAAAGCAGAUGGAAUAGAUGAAUAGCCAACUUGCUAUGGUGCUUAGAAAGUUAAAUAUUAGUGUAAAAGACUAGCUGCGUUUUAUUUAUGUAUUAAGUUUGUAUGACCUGUGAAUUAUAACUUGGAUGCUACUUUUGCUUGUAAAUCUAUGUCAUUUUUCUUUA